rnacentral:misc_RNA from 1 species
GCAAACUUGGUCAUUUAGAGGAAGUAAAAGUCGUAACAAGGUCUCCGUUGGUGAACCAGCGGAGGGAUCAUUGCUGUAGCGCUCCUGAAAACGGAGCAACUACAAAACCCUUUGUGAACAUACCCAUCGUCGUUGCCUCGGCGGGCCGGUACGCGCUGCCUUGGCCUUCCCCCCCCUCUCCCGGGGCGGGAGGGCCGGCCGCGGACCCCCUGCGCGCCCGCCGGCGGCCUGACAAACUCUUGUUUCCAGCGUGUCUUCUUCUGAGUAUACCACUUAAAUAAAAGUAAAAACUUUCAACAACGGAUCUCUUGGUUCUGGCAUCGAUGAAGAACGCAGC